rnacentral:tRNA from 1 species
GAGGGAGUAGUAAAAUUAUUACAUAAGAUUGUCAAUCUUAAGUUGUUGGCUGUGCCCUGCCUCUCUCU